UUGACGCCAACCCCAGCCACAACACGCACGCGAGGGGAUAAGCCCCAGGCCACACGUAUCCCCUCGCGCCGCUCCUCUCUCCAACCUGUGGCCGAGACCCCGCUUGCCUCCCUCGAUUCUCCUCUCCUCUCUCCUCUCACUUGCAAGCCCCCAAUCGCCGUCGGCCAGCUCUCCUUUCCUCGACGCUCCCUCCCGAUUCCCUCAGGAGUCACGCCCGAGCGCCCGAGGAGAGGAGCUUCUAGAGCACCGGCGCCCGCCGCCGGCAAGACCACGGCUAGGAGCUCCCCACGCACCAUGGAGUUUGCAGAGGACCUCCCCUGCCUCACGCCGCCGCCUCGUUAGCCCCGCGCCCGGAGCGCGCCACUGCGGCACCUCUCAUUCUCCCUCUUUUCCUUUCUUCUCCUCCCUGGAUCGUCCUCACCCCCCACGCAUCUCUCUCCCUCUAUGUGUUCCAGGAAACGGCCAUGGCCGAGCGCCAAGCCGAAUCGAGCUCUGACGCCCUCUGCUAUCCGUCGUGCUGGCCAGCCUCCUCUACGCCGGGGCCCUGCAGCCAUCCAACCGCCUCGGAUCUCGCCGGACCCGUCCGGAUCGGGACUCGCGUUGCCCGCCGAGCUUGCCACCUGCGCUGUCGCUGCCUUCUGUCGAGCAGGAGCUCGUCCGUGGACUCCUCUGCUCCCGUCGACCGAGCGAGCAAAUGCCCAUGACCCCCGUGGAUAACACCGCAGAGCCAGAUGCCAUGAAUUCUCCCGGGAAGUCGCGCUCCGGCCUUAAUCGUCGUCACCGGCGACCCCCGUCCUCACCGCCCGCCUCCGAAUCCUUCCCAGCCCCUGCCGUGCAUGGAUCCGUUCGCUGCAAGCUCCAGCCGUCGCGCCGCCGCCGUUCUGCAGAUCGCGGGUUGAAUAGAUGAAAACACAGGGUCCUGUUUGUAAAUUCGAAACAUUUUUCUGACUGAGUAAAGCGUGUACUGCGGGUUAAUUUCUAAAAAAUGGGGGGACUUUUCUGCAAAACGGCCGGCGACGUACGACCAGAAGCGGUCGCUGCUUUAUUAGUAGGGAAGAUAUAUAUAUAUAUAUAUAUAUAUAUAUAUAUAUAUAUAUAUAUAUAUAUAUAUAUAUAUAGGUAAAGAGGUAAAGAGGUAAAGAUAAAGAUUGCAUGAGAGUCUCGAAAUCUCUCUCUAUAUAUCUACGUGAAGUAAUCAGCCUGACAGAUACUUUCACUUGGCAUGCAUGCAGAUGAUGUCGGCCGCCGGAUACGCCAUACCGACGCCAUUCUUGCCGCUGGGGGUGAUGCCGCCGUCGUGCAUGCAGCUGCCUGCUGCAGGCGGGCAGGCGCCGGUGAUGGUCCCUCAGUACCCGGUUUUCCCGGCGGUGUACUCUUGUCCACACCACGGCACGCCGCUGCCGCCAUUGGCGCCGUGUGCUCGUCAUCUUGGUGCCGGCGAGCCGCGGCCGCUUGCUCCUCGCCGUCGCCAUCUCGUCCCAAACGAUUUCACCGUGCCGAGCCACAGCGGGAGAAGCCAGAAAUGACCUACGUACGUGCACCAUCAAUGGAAUCGAAACGAUCGAUCUUAUGGUCUGAACGAUAUGCAUGGCCAGCUAGCAGCAGCGCGCGUGAGGUCGUGUGGUACUACCUCUCUCUCAGUUUACAGGGCGUGGGCGUACCUCUAGGUCGUCAAUUUGACCAACCUAAUACAAGUCAUAUAUUACAAAAAAUAUACCAACAUAAACUUUGGAGUUUUUACUUUCAAAAGGUAUAAUUUUUGUGUUAUAUAGUUUAUAUUAGGAUGAUAAAAUUGACAACCUAGGUAUACGUGCAGGACUUGUAAACUGAAACGGAGGUAGUAGUACUUACGUGUUUAAUUACUACGGCUUGUUUUAAUUGUAAUUUCUUUUUGCGAUGAAUGUUUCAAUUGUAAUUACUGAGUAAUAAUAGUGGUAGUAGUAGUAGGCAGUAAGAUCAUGUAUUCUAUAGUAGUAGUACUUCCUCCGUUUUUAUUUACUCCACAUAUUAGAGCUGACUGAAAUCAAACUUUUUAAAGUUUGAUCAAGUUUAUAGAAAAGAAUAUAAAUAUUUACCAUAACAAUCUAUAUGAUGUCAAAGUACAUUUGAUAAUGAAUCUAAUGGUGUUGAUUUGUUA